UGGCCCAUAGGGGAAUCGAACCCACGACCUUCGCUUUAUUAGCACGACCCUCUAACCAACCGAGUUAAUAAGCC